CCUACGGGAGGCUGCAGUGGGGAAUAUUGGACAAUGGGCGAAAGCCUGAUCCAGCCAUGCCGCGUGUGUGAAGAAGGCCUUCGGGUUGUAAAGCACUUUCAGUGGGGAAGAAAGCCUUGGGGCUAAUACCCUCGAGGAAGGACAUCACCCACAGAAGAAGCACCGGCUAACUCCGUGCCAGCAGCCGCGGUAAUACGGAGGGUGCGAGCGUUAAUCGGAAUUACUGGGCGUAAAGCGCGCGUAGGCGGUCUGAUAAGCCGGUUGUGAAAGCCCCGGGCUCAACCUGGGAACGGCAUCCGGACCUGUCAGGCUAGAGUGCAGGAGAGGAAGGUAGACUUCCCGGUGUAGCGGUGAAAUGCGUAGAGAUCGGGAGGAAUACCAGUGGCGAAGGCGGCCUUCUGGACUGACACUGACGCUGAGGUGCGAAAGCGUGGGUAGCACACAGGAUUAGAUACCCCAGUAGUC
rnacentral:rRNA from 1 species